rnacentral:rRNA from 1 species
GACAGAGGGUGCAAACGUUGCUCGGAAUCACUGGGCGUAAAGGGCGUGUAGGCGGGAAGGAAAGUCAGAUGUGAAAUCCCUGGGCUCAACCCAGGAACUGCAUUUGAAACUCCCUUUCUUGAGUGUCGGAGAGGAAAGUGGAAAUUCCUGGUGUAGAGGUGAAAUUCGUAGAUAUCAGGAGGAACACCGGUGGCGAAGGCGGCUUUCUGGACGACAACUGACGCUGGAGAACGCGAAAGCGGUGGGGAGCAAACAGG